rnacentral:rRNA from 1 species
GGGCCCGCACAAGCGGUGGAGCAUGUGGUUUAAUUCGAUGAUACGCGAGGAACCUUACCAGGGCUUAAAUGUAAGUUGCAUAAGCUAGAGAUAGCUUUUUUCUUCGGACUACUUACAAGGUGCUGCAUGGUUGUCGUCAGCUCGUGCCGUGAGGUGUCAGGUUAAGUCCUAUAACGAGCGCAACCCCUGUUGUUAGUUGCCAUCGAGUAAUGUCGGGAACUCUAACAAGACUGCCGUGCAAACCGCGGGAAGUGGGGAUGACGUCAAAUCAUCACGGCCCUUACGUCCUGGGCUACACACGUGCUACAAUGGCCGGUACAGAGAGCAGCCACUACGCGAGUAGGAG